rnacentral:rRNA from 1 species
UGAGCAAUCUGCCCUUCUCUUCGGAAUAAGCGUUGGAAACGACGUCUAAUGCCGAAUACGACCUCCUUUCACAUGAUCGGAGGUGGAAAGCUCCGGCGGAGAAGGAUGAGCUCGCGGCCUAUCAGCUAGUUGGUGUGGGUAACGGCCCACCAAGGCGACGACGGGUAGCCGGCCUGAGAGGGUGACCGGCCACACUGGGACUGAGACACGGCCCAGACCUCCGUACGGGAGGCAGCAGG